rnacentral:rRNA from 1 species
GGAAUAGCCCAUCACCGAAUCCUUCCUGGCCUUCAGGCAAGGAGUUGUGGUGUAAAGGACAGUCUUCGUUGUAGUAUUGUCAGCCCGAGUUCUCUUGAAUGGGGCUUUACCCAGAGCGGGUGUCAGGCCUCUAGUGGCUGAUCAAUACUGUAACUUUGCUUGUCCCGAGAGUCGGGUUGCUUGAGAUCGCAGUCCUAAGACGGGUGGUAAACUCCAUCCAAGGCUAAAUACCGUCGCGAGACCGAUAGCGAACAAGUACCGUGAGGGAAAGUUGAAAAGAACUUUGAAGAGAGAGUUAAAUAGUACGUGAAACCGUAUAGGGGUAAACGGGUGGAAGCGCUAAAUCAAAGCGAAGAAUUCAAAUCAGCAUUAGCUCAUUAAGUGACUCAAUACAUAGUCUAUGCUAGUAUUGUUCGCCGUCAUGUUCAAUGUUGGUUGCACUUUUUUCGUUUUGAGCGCCUCGACAGCUUGCUAUGUACGCGCACUCUAAAGGUAGCAUCUAGGUAUUGUAAUACGUUGCGAACUAAUAAGGUGUUACUUAUGCGUACAUGGCGAUCUUGGACUGAAAGCUAGAAGUAUCAGCGCAAGCGAGAUGGGUGCUUAUGCGGUGGCUGUCGAAUUGAGUGUUACUCCCUAGUGAGUGCAUUCUAACCGGGUUAUCACACUUUGUAUCUAUUCUCAUGGUACUUUAGUCAGAGGCGAACGGUCGUACGUCUACCCGACCCGUCUUGAAACACGGACCAAGGAGUCUAACAUGUGCGCAAGUCAUUGGGUUUUACGAAACCUAAAGGCGAAAUGAAAGUGAAAGCUAACUUUCGUUAGCUUAGGUGUGAUCCAGUGUAAACUGGCGCAACACCGUCCGGUCACAAUUGCUUAGCAAUAUGGCCGCGAAAGAGCGUACACGUUGGGACCCGAAAGAUGGUGAACUAUGCCUGAGCAGGAUGAAGCCAGAGGAAACUCUGGUGGAGGUCCGCAGCGGUUC